CUUGGGGUGGUGGUACUUCUCGCCACUCCAUCUCUUGCUGAUUACUCUAAGCCACCGUUUUACGAACAUCCCAAGAUUGACAAGCCUUUCCCAAAGCCUCCCAAGAUUGAUAAGCCAUUCCCAAAGCCUCCCAAGAUUGACAAGCCAUUCCCAAAGCCUCCAGUUUACGAGCCUCCGAAGGUUGGCAAGCCAUUUCCCAAGCCUCCAAAGAUUGAGAAGCCAUUCCCAAAACCUCCCAAGAUUGAGAAGCCAUUCCCAAAGCCUCCCAAGAUUGACAAGCCAUAUCCAAAGCCUCCAGUUUAUGAGCCUCCCAAGAUCGACAAGCCAUUUCCAAAGCCUCCAGUUUACGAGCCUCCGAAGGUUGACAAGCCUUUUCCAAAGCCUCCCAAGAUUGACAAGCCAUUCCCUAAGCCUCCAAUCUACGAGCCUCCAAAGAUUGGGAAGCCUUUCCCAAAGCCACCGGUUUUCGAACACCCUAAAGUAGGGAAGCCAUUCCCAGAAC
rnacentral:lncRNA from 1 species